AGCGGCGGACGGGUGAGUAACGCGUGGGUAACCUGCCUCAUACAGGGGGAUAACAGUUGGAAACGGCUGCUAAUACCGCAUAAGCGCACAGUACCGCAUGGUACGGUGUGAAAAACUCCGGUGGUAUGAGAUGGACCCGCGUCUGAUUAGGUAGUUGGUGGGGUAACGGCCUACCAAGCCGACGAUCAGUAGCCGACCUGAGAGGGUGACCGGCCACAUUGGGACUGAGACACGGCCCAG
rnacentral:rRNA from 1 species